GACGAACGCUGGCGGCGUGCCUAAUACAUGCAAGUUGAGCGCUGAAGGUUGGUACUUGUACCGACUGGAUGAGCAGCGAACGGGUGAGUAACGCGUGGGGAAUCUGCCUUUGAGCGGGGGACAACAUUUGGAAACGAAUGCUAAUACCGCAUAAAAACUUUAAACACAAGUUUUAAGUUUGAAAGAUGCAAUUGCAUCACUCAAAGAUGAUCCCGCGUUGUAUUAGCUAGUUGGUGAGGUAAAGGCUCACCAAGGCGAUGAUACAUAGCCGACCUGAGAGGGUGAUCGGCCACAUUGGGACUGAGACACGGCCCAAACCCCUACGGGAGGCAGCAGUAGGGAAUCUUCGGCAAUGGACGAAAGUCUGACCGAGCAACGCCGCGUGAGUGAAGAAGGGUGUCGGAUCGUAAAACUCUGUUGGUAGAGAAGAACGUUGGUGAGAGUGGAAAGCUCAUCAAGUGACGGUAACUACACAGAAAGGGACGGCUAACUACGUG
rnacentral:rRNA from 1 species